AGCGAACGCUGGCGGCCGGCCUAACACAUGCAAGUCGAACGGAUCCUUCGGGAUUAGUGGCGGACGGGUGAGUAACACGUGGGAACGUGCCCUUUGGUUCGGAACAACUCAGGGAAACUUGAGCUAAUACCGGAUGUGCCCUUCGGGGGAAAGAUUUAUCGCCAUUGGAGCGGCCCGCGUCUGAUUAGCUAGUUGGUGGGGUAAAGGCUCACCAAGGCGACGAUCAGUAGCUGGUCUGAGAGGAUGAUCAGCCACAUUGGGACUGAGACACGGCCCAAACUCCUACGGGAGGCAGCGGUGGGGAAUCUUGCGCAAUGGGCGAAAGCCUGACGCAGCCAUGCCGCGUGAAUGAUGAAGGUCUUAGGAUUGUAAAAUUCUUUCACCGGGGACGAUAAUGACGGUACCCGGAGAAGAAGCCCCGGCUAACUUCGUGCCAGCCGCCAGCGUUCAAU
rnacentral:rRNA from 1 species